UAGGGAAUCUUCCACAAUGGGCGCAAGCCUGAUGGAGCAACACCGCGUGAGUGAAGAAGGGUUUCGGCUCGUAAAGCUCUGUUGUUAAAGAAGAACACGUAUGAGAGUAACUGUUCAUACGUUGACGGUAUUUAACCAGAAAGUCACGGCUAACUACGUGCCANCAGCCGCGGUAAUACGUAGGUGGCAAGCGUUAUCCGGAUUUAUUGGGCGUAAAGAGAGUGCAGGCGGUUUUCUAAGUCUGAUGUGAAAGCCUUCGGCUUAACCGGAGAAGUGCAUCGGAAACUGGAUAACUUGAGUGCAGAAGAGGGUAGUGGAACUCCAUGUGUAGCGGUGGAAUGCGUAGAUAUAUGGAAGAACACCAGUGGCGAAGGCGGCUACCUGGUCUGCAACUGACGCUGAGACUCGAAAGCAUGGGUAGCGAACAGGAUUAGAUACCCUGGUAGUCCAUGCCGUAAACGAUGAGUGCUAGGUGUUGGAGGGUUUCCGCCCUUCAGUGCCGGAGCUAACGCAUUAAGCACUCCGCCUGGGGAGUACGACCGCAAGGUUG
rnacentral:rRNA from 1 species